AUUGAACGCUGGCGGCAUGCCUUACACAUGCAAGUCGAACGGCAGCACGGGGCAACCUGGUGGCGAGUGGCGAACGGGUGAGUAAUACAUCGGAACGUACCUUUCAGUGGGGGAUAACGUAGCGAAAGUUACGCUAAUACCGCAUAUUCUGUGAGCAGGAAAGCAGGGGAUCGCAAGACCUUGCGCUGAUUGAGCGGCCGAUGUCAGAUUCGCUAGUUGGUGAGGUAAAGGCUCACCAAGGCGACGAUCUGUAGCGGGUCUGAGAGGAUGAUCCGCCACACUGGAACUGAGACACGGUCCAGACUCCUACGGGAGGCAGCAGUGGGGAAUUUUGGACAAUGGGGGCAACCCUGAUCCAGCCAUGCCGCGUGAGUGAAGAAGGCCUUCGGGUUGUAAAGCUCUUUCGGCCGGGAAGAAAUCGCACGGGCUAAUACCCUGUGUGGAUGACGGUACCGGAAUAAGAAGCACCGGCUAACUACGUGCCAGCCGCCGCCGUAAUAC
rnacentral:rRNA from 1 species